CCUACGGGAGGCAGCAGUGGGGGAUAUUGGACAAUGGGCGGAAGCCUGAUCCAGCGACGCCGCGUGGAGGACGAAGCCCUUCGGGGUGUAAACUCCUUUUGUCGGGGAAAAAGGACUGAUGGUACCCGACGAAUAAGCCCCGGCUAACUACGUGCCAGCAGCCGCGGUAAUACGUAGGGGGCGAGCGUUACCCGGAAUCACUGGGCGUAAAGGGUGCGUAGGCGGCCGCGUGUGUCUGGCGUAAAAUACCACGGCUCAACCGUGGGAAUGCGCUGGAAACUACGUGGCUUGGGUGCGGCAGAGGCAGACGGAACUGCUGGUGUAGGGGUGAAAUCCGUAGAUAUCAGCAGGAACGCCGGUGGAGAAGUCGGUCUGCUGGGCCGUAACCGACGCUGAGGCACGAAAGCUAGGGGAGCGAACCGGAUUAGAUACCCGGGUAGUCC
rnacentral:rRNA from 1 species